UCCUUAAUACCUUAAAAAUUUCAUAACCCUUUAAUUCUAUUGAGUAAUUCUAUAAUACUAUAGGAAAUAUAAUGUUAAAACUAGUAACAAGAAGAAGACCUUCUCUUUAAUGCAAGUGUAAAUCAGAAAGGACCCCCCACUGAUAAUUAACCCCCAUGAAACCAUAUUAGCAACCUCGCAAGAAAAGCCUAAUAAACUCUGAGUUAAUCUAACACAAGAACAUUUCAAGAAAGAUUAAAAGAAAAAGAAGGAACUCGGCAAACAUUAACCUCGCCUGUUUACCAAAAACAUCGCCUCUUGAAUUACCAUAAGAGGUCCAGCCUGCCCAGUGACUUUGUUCAACGGCCGCGGUAUCCUAACCGUGCGAAGGUAGCGUAAUCACUUGUCUUUUAAAUGAGGACUUGUAUGAAUGGCAUCACGAGGGUUAUACUGUCUCCUUUUUCUAAUCAGUGAAACUAAUCUUCCCGUGAAGAAGCGGGAAUAAAUAUAUAAGACGAGAAGACCCUAUGGAGCUUUAAACUCAAUAACAAAUACUAACCCUUAUUUAACUUCCAGAGCAUUAACCUCAAUCUUAGUAUAAUGAUUAUUAGUUUUAGGUUGGGGUGACCGCGGAGUAAAAAUUAACCUCCACAUUGAACAGGACCUAUCCUUGAGCCAAGAGCUACAACCCUAAGCACCAACAAAUUGACAUUAAUUGACCCAAUAUUUUGAUCAACGAACCAAGUUACCCUAGGGAUAACAGCGCAAUCCACUUCAAGAGCCCCUAUCGACAAGUGGGUUUACGACCUCGAUGUUGGAUCAGGGUAUCCCAGUGGUGCAGCCG
rnacentral:rRNA from 1 species